rnacentral:rRNA from 1 species
UACGAGAGCCCCAAGCGUUAUCCGGAAUCAUUGGGCGUAAAGGGUGUGUAGGUGGUUUGAUUAGUCAGUUGUUAAAACCCGGAGCUUAACUCCGGAACCGCGAUUGAAACGGUCAAACUAGAGGGUGCGAGGGAUGUGUGGAACUCAUGGAGUAGGGGUGAAAUCCGUUGAUAUCAUGGGGAACACCGAAAGCGAAGGCAGCACAUUGGCGCAUUCCUGACACUGAAACACGAAAGCGUGGGUAGCGAAUGGG